rnacentral:lncRNA from 1 species
AAGCAGGAUCUGUCUCACCAUACACUGAGAACUGUAGAAUAUGCAAGGCACAUGGAACUUAUUUUCUUACAUAUAAAAGCAUGUAUAUGCUCCUUAUACAUCUGUCCUAAUGCUUUCCAACAGUCCUCACUCUAAGCCUCACCAAGACCCAGAUGAGGAAACAAAGGCGCAGAGGGAUAAACUCAGAGCAGGAAGACAGCAAGGAAGAGCAGUGAAAAGCCUGGUGCUUAAUCCAACCCCUUACUCACUGCUGAGACCUGGAAAUUUGUUCAUCAGCUACAAAACAGGAGAGAUGAUAACUCAUUAUGUAUGUGUGAUGAUAAACAGAGACAAUAUAUUGAAGAGCUUAUAUGAGUGGCAGACAUGGGACAUGCUUCCCUGUGGCUGGCCAGCCUGUCAUCUUCUCCACCAUGUGUCCAGAGAAAAGCUUUGCAAAUCAACCUCUCGAUGAAUGAUGAUGGCACCAGUGAAAUCAGGGGAGGCAGAAAAUCAUGUUAGUUUGGUUUAUAAUGCAAGAAGUUACAGAAUACAGAGUGCUCAAAACUAAGAAUGUGCUAGUUGUAUAACAGGGUCCUUCUUGGAACUCAGCCAGGAUUCAAACUAUAAAGGAAAAUCGGGUGAGCAGGUGGAAUAGUCAAGUGAUUCUAUUUGCAUGAAUAAAUUGUGAGAUGAUACCUUCUUGUCCAGGAACAUUGAGCAGUGCUCGUGCUGGGUGGAUUGUGAUGUGGAAACCCUGGGAGAUGUCACGCCUGAUAUCAACUUUCUCCCAGGUGACAGCUGCACCCUCUAAAGGCUUCUCAAGUGACAGAGCUCAAUGAGUAUAGAAGGGAAAAGUAUGAGGAUGACCUAUGAGCACAGAGUGGACAGUCUCUGCGGUGGGUAGGCAUUAGCAAAGGAGAGACCUUCUGUAUUAUGCAGAAUGGAAUUUUCCAGCGGCUACAUGAUGAGUGACGUCACGACAGAUUGAGUACAGAGCCAACUAUGAGAAUCCAGCUGCCUUCUAUUAAGGUACCCUUUCUGUGGGUACCUUCAAGCUCCAGCACCAAAUAUGAAGGUGACUGCCAUCACCAGCUCCCACCCCUACAUGAGGUCAAAUCCCUGGAUGGCAUAUAACACACUAGAGCAAUUAAGAGGAUCUAACUAAAGAUGGGGAAGGAAAAAUGUGUGUACAGAGACAGGAAGUCAUGGACACAGUUAUAUUGAAAGAUACAAUGACCUUCUC